UUCUGCACAGUGUCUGGCGCAUACAGAGUCGAUGCUCACUGGAGGCUGGUUGACUGUCGGAGGUGAUGGGUUGAUUUGGUGUUUAAGUUGGAGUCUGGGCAGAGGCUGGUUGACCCAGCCACCCCACUGUGGCUCAUCUCUUGUCACUUCCCCUCUCUGGCUCUGGAUCUCGCCAUGUCGAGCCCUGAAGCCUUCUCCGGAUGCCAUGUCUUCUCUCUUCCAGGGAGGCGGCGUCCAUGGAGCAAAAGGAAUGCCAGGACCCUGCCCAGGCAGACGCAGGCCAGCCUCAGCACCGACAGACGACGCGCAGAUAGCAGAGCCGUCCUUGGGGUAAGGACUGGGCCCCUCUCCUUCCUGGCCAGCUCCAGCUCCAGUCAAGUGCUCUUCCCAGCUUGGGGAGCAAAGGGUAGCAUCUCUGUCCCCACAGUCCUUUGCUCUUCUUACUGUAGGUUCAGGGCAGAGUGGCAGACAGCAGGAUUACUGUCUUCUUCCUUCUCCCGCUGACUAAUGUCUGCUUGCUGCGUUCAUUGACUGCUAAGUUGUUUCAUUGUAAACCUCUGUUUUUUCUCCCUCACCCCAGAGCUUAUCAGUCUGGGUUUUGCUAAUGCAGCCUCAUGACCACAUUUCCCAAAAAAGCGUGAACCACAUUUCCCAAGUGUGUUCCAUGAGACACUGGUUUCUUCGGUCACAGUGUUAAUUCUGGGAAACAAAGACUUCUUAUUAUCCUUGCUGUAGGACUUAUCAGAGCCUUGAAUGGAUUGAGCUGACCACGAUAAGGGAGCUAGCGACUCAUGUUUCCCCACACUUAUUUGAUUGUGUAGACAUCUUUGGGGACUGGGAUUCCUUGGCCUGUGCUUUGGAAAACAGUUCCCAGAGGCAGGAGAGUCCCUUGAGAGCAUGUGGAGGAUUAAAUAUGUUGACAUAGAGCAGGCAGUUGGCAGAGUGCAUGUCCUAGAAGGUGGUCCUGAGUCAUAGCUGGUGUAUGUAUAGACGGCUGUAUAAUUUUCCAAACAUACUCAGGUCGGUGAUCUCAUUUGACCAUUUGAGGAUGCUUAGGCAGUGGCCAUUAUCGCCAGUUUACAGAUGUGGAAACUGAGGAUCAGGGUGAGGAAGCAACUUGCCCAGACUUAUCUGUAAAGAAGGCAAGGACAUGCGGCUUGAAUCCAGACCCUGGAAUCCUGCGCCAGGGUCCUUUGUUCUCUGUCCUGAGGCCUCCCUGCCUUUAUGUCUCACCUCAGUUUUUUUUUGUGUGAAGGAAGGCCUGAGUCUCCCAGCCUGGAUUUUAAAAGAAAUAGUAAUUUUUUUUAAAAUUACCGACAUAGUUGCAUAUUCAUUAUAUGUUUUUAUACUGUUUGGCUAUUUUUUGGGGACAGGGUCUCACUCUGUUGCCCAGGCUGGAGUGCAGUGGCACCAUCAUGAUUCAGCCUCGAUCUCCAAGGCUCUGGUGAUCCUCCUGCCUCAGCCUCCUAAGUAGCUGGGACUACAGGUGUGUACCACCAUGCCC
rnacentral:lncRNA from 1 species